AAUCCGGUUGAUCCUGCCGGACCCGACUGCUAUUGGGGUGAGCUAAGGCAUGCGAGUCAGCGCUUCUAGCCACGAUGGAGCGCGGCAUACGGCUCAGUAACAUGUAGUCAAUCUACCCUCAGGACGGGGACACCCUCGGGAAACUGAGGCUGAUCCCAGAUAGAUAAUUGAUCCUGGAAUGGUCUUUUAUCCAAAAGAUACGUGGCUCAUGCGUCAUGUGUCGCCUGAGGAUGAGACUGCACCCUAUCAGGUAGUUGGUGGGGUAACGGCCCACCAAGCCUAUAACGGGUACGGGCCCUGAGAGGGGGAGCCCGGAGAUGGGCACUGAGACAAGGGCCCAGGCCUACGGGGCGCAGCAGGCGCGAAACCUCUGCAAUGCACGAAAGUGCGACAGGGCCACCCCGAGUGCUAGACGCUGAGUCUAGCUUUUCCCGAGUGUAGAAGCUCGGGCGAAUAAGCGGGGGGCAA
rnacentral:rRNA from 1 species